rnacentral:rRNA from 1 species
GACUACACGAAGCUGGAAUCGCUAGUAAUCGCGGAUCAGCAUGCCGCGGUGAAUACGUUCCCGGGUCUUGUACACACCGCCCGUCAAACCAUGAGAGUUGGCAACACCCGAAGUCGGUAGUCUAACCGCAAGGAGGACGCCGCCGAAGGUGGGGUUGAUGAUUAGGGUUAAGUCGUAACAAGGUAAC